GAUUUCUGGUCUAGUGCGCCUGGCCCACUGCCGUUAGGUUUGUGAGUGCCGGUGCGCGCUUGCCAUCCUUUCUAGUCAGCAGUCUCCAUCUGGCCUUUACUGGUCGGGUGGCUGUGGGCUAGAUCUAUUACUUUGAAAAAAUUAGAGUGUUUAAAGCAGGCUUGCGCUAUGAAUAUAUUAGCAUGGAAUAAUAAUCUAGGACUUCGGUUCUAUUUUGUUGGUUUCUAUAACUGAAGUAAUGAUUGAUAGGGAUAGUUGGGGGUGCUAGUAUUGGCCGGCCAGAGGUGAAAUUCUUGGAUUCGGUCAAGACUAACUUAUGCGAAAGCAUU
rnacentral:rRNA from 1 species